CGAGCACACAGCCUCCCACGCAGGCGGCCAGCUCCCGCAGCCCGCGCUCAGCCGUGCCGUGCCGUGCCGUGCCGUGCCGUGCCGUGCCCCUCGGUUCCCCGCUGCGGCCAAAGCCGCCGGGCGCGGGACGAGCCGGGUCCCCGAGCCGCGCCGGGGCCAUGGGGCCGUGCCGGGGCUGGUUCCUCGCCGUUCUGCUCAUCCUGGCAGCCACCGGGGCCCGGAGCCAGGAGGAGGCGCCAUGCGCCCUCCACGUGCUGGUGGCCCUGGAUGUCACCGAUUACCAGCAGUCCAACCUGCACCCCCACCUGGAGCGCAUCCUGCGGGACCUGGCCGCCCUGGAUCGCCUCACCUGCCGCCCGCUCGGCCUCCGCAUCGGCCUGCAGA